rnacentral:rRNA from 1 species
GCUACCAACCCUUUGUUGUCCGACCGCGUUGCCUCCGGGGCGACCCUGACCUUCGGGUUUUGGGGGACCCCGGGUGGACACCUAAACUCUGCGUAACUUUGCAGUCUGAGUAAUAGAUUAAAUCAAUCAAAACUUUCAACAACGGAUCUCUUGGUUCUGGCAUCGAUGAAGAACGCAGCGAAAUGCGAUAAGUAAUGUGAAUUGCAGAAUUCAGUGAAUCAUCGAAUCUUUGAACGCACAUUGCGCCCCGUGGUAUUCCGCGGGGCAUGCCUGUUCGAGCGUCAUUUCACCACUCAAGCCUCGCUUGGUAUUGGGCGACGCGGUCCGCCGCGCGCCUCAAAUCGACCGGCUGGGUCGAUCGCACCCUCAGCGUUGUGGAAACUAUUCGCUAAAGGAGUUGUGGUCGGUCACGCCGUGAAACAAACCAAUCUUUCAAUGGUUGACCUCGGAUCAGGUAGGGAUACCCGCUGAACUUAAGCAUAUCAAUAAGCGGAGGA